GGGACCGGGCUCUGGUCUGCAGGUUAUCAGGGUCCAGGGAGACACACCGCGUACAUUGUUAUUCAUAUCAUCUCCACACCGUUUUCUACGGUGCCUUUUUCACUUCUCUUCGUGCACUGAUCCCCACCCCCCACCCCCACCCUCCUUCCAUGUCUGUGGUGUCAAACUGGCGUAAUCACUGGCCAGGGGCAAGAUUGACUGCCUCUGGGGGACCCGGCCCUCCUCUGAUUGAGGGCAGGAAAAAAAGGAGAAAGAGAGAACGAGAGGAGAGGAGGAGGAAGCAACGAUAGAUGUCGGAGCACCGUUCGGCCUCUUCUUGUUCCUCUCUUUCAUAUUCUGAGGGUGGUGCCGGGUUGGCGUGGCGUGGCUGGGGGUGGGGGUGGCAGGCAGCACCUCAUAUCCUAUCUGCGUAUCAAUCAUGAGGUCCUGUCCACUCAAUGCUCCUCUGAUCCAUCAGCCAGCCUCUCAGCCAGCUCAGGCAGCCUCAUCCACACACACACACACACACACACACAUACACACACCACUGACUAAUGACAGUCACCUGUGCACACCAACCUGCUUUCAUUCCACAACCACAGUGGAUGCAGAAUGUGCAGCAUCCAACAACAAAGCUGUAUAGUACAGGACUUUAACACUACAGUCGCUCCUAGUACUGCAGAAAAUACUUGAAUGCAGGAUUUUAACAUAAGUUGCCUUAAUUUCUCUCAUUUAGGGGCAUCAAAAUGAAUAUUCUCUUUAUUAUCAAUUCAUAUUAUGGUUAUUUUCUUGAUUAAUAGAUUCAUCAUUUGGUCUAUAAAUUGUCAGAAAAUAGUGGAAAAUGCCUUUCCCAGAGUACAAAAUGACCUCUCCAAAUGGCUUAUUAUUCCAAAUAAUAGACCAAAAACCCAAAGAGAUUCAGUUUACUCUCAAACAACACAAAGAAAAGUAGCAAAUCCUCACAUUUGAGGAGCAAAGAUUAUCUGUUUUUGGUUAAAAAAUGACUGAAACGAUUAUCGCUUAUCAAAACUGUGGCUGAUACUUUUUUUGUCGAUUGAUAAAUCAAUUAGUCGACUAAUCAUUUCAGCUGUAGUCCCAUUUAUUAUGCGACAAAACAAAAAUUUCCACGGCAUUAUACUAAGGAGUGCACAUGUGGCCGCCGACGACAAAGUUCUGCAGACACAAAUUGCAGCUGCCAUCACAUAACUGCAUAAAUUCAUCAUCAAUGCCAUCAUUUUGCACAUCCCCACCUCCAACACCGCCUCCACCUCGUAACACCCCACCACGCACUCCCACCACCAGCCCAACCCACCUGCUCCUCGCUCACCGCUAAGCCGAUUACACAACGCAACCCUCCUAAUCACAGUACAGCGUUUGUAAACACCGAUGUCAUCGACUGUAGUUCUAAAUCUCCCAAAUCCCCUCCAACCUUCAUCUCGCACCACACCAGUAAUGCCAUUUUUCGACUGAUGUUUUAAUCACCGGUGCCGCUGUGAGUGACUGCCGCUGUACCACAGAGAGAAGCGAGACAAUGUGUGAAAACUGUUUGGACAAAAUUCUCUCCAUAAAUGGUUUCAGUUCACCGUGCAACAUGGACAUUUUGUUGCUUGUUCUGAAGCCACAAAAUGUUCUGUGAACAUUAGGUUGGAGGGUUGAAGUGCGGUGUCUUUUUACGGCACCAUCAACCGCUCUUAUGUCAAAACGUCUCUGUUGCAUCAUCCAUUCAUCCUGACACGUCUGUAAUGAAGAUAUUAAAACUCUUUUUCCUUUGUGAUUAAAAUGAUCUCUGCUCUCCCCCCACAGCCAUACACAAGUAAACAAAGGGCCUUGCUCGCGCAUAUAUUAUGACAACCUUUUCUUCAACUGUGCGUCUGUGCAUGUUUUUAUGUGUGUGUGUGUGUGUGUCCAUGUGUGUGUGAGGGAUUUAAAAACAGCACAGUUUACUGGUUCAUUAGCACCAGAUUAGCUAUGCUAAUGACAUGGACCACCACACACAGAGACGUUGCCUUUAUGUUUCUGAAAGGGAUACUGACUAUGACUCUGUGUGUGUGUGUGUGUGUGUGUGUGUGUGUGUGUGUGUGUGUGUGUGUGUGUGUGUGUGUGUGUGUGUGUGUGUGUGUGCGUGUGCGUGUGUGCGUGUGUGCGUGUGGUGCAGGUGUGUACACAUUAGUCUCGCAUGAAUAAGUUAUUCCUUUGCAAAAAAAAAAACGAGUGAGCUACACCAAUAAUAAUUCAACAAAGUAUGUAUGGGUAAUGAUGUUUUAAUUGCAUUAAUGAGUGAAAGGAGAGCCGCUGCCAGAAGAGAUUUGGGAAAGGAUUGAACUGGUGUUGAAAUUUGACCUGCUGUCUCUCCGAGUGUUUCAUUAAUGGCUCACACAGUAAGACAGAUAGUCAGGACAAACUGAGACACGAGUACGAAGCACACGCAACAUACUAAUCCAGAUCUGAGACGCAAGUUUCCAUGUGGCUCCGUCUGAUGACAUAAGACAUCAAUACGAAACGAUGUGUUUGUUUACACUGAAGUAAACUUCCAAAAGUCUUAUUGCUUUUUUAAUAAGAAAAGUCUGCGAUGGCAUCUGUAAUACAAACACCCAAAGAGCACUUCAAGGAAAAACUUUUUUGUCACUCCUAAAUGAUGUAGCCAUCGUUCAUCACUCCUUCUCUUCGGGUAUUUUAUACUCCGUCUUCAGUGCAAAUAAAACAUAUGGCUUUCUAAUUUAACUUAUUUUGAUCUUCUAUAUUGUUCACUCUUUUUAAAAUCGUAUAAGUGUGUUUCUUUUAUAUCUUUUCUUAAUGUCUUUCUGUCAAAGCACUUUCAAUUACCUUGUUGUUGAACCAUGCUAUACAAAUAAACUUGCCUCGUUAAAAAAUAUUGUUAAAUACAUAUUUAUCG